rnacentral:rRNA from 1 species
GACGAACGCUGGCGGCGUGCUUAACACAUGCAAGUCGAACGAGCGGCGGACGGGUGAGUAAUGUAUGGGGACUUCCCGAUAGAGGGGGAUAACUACUGGAAACGGUGGCUAAUACCGCAUACUGUCGGCUUACCCAUAUGGGAUUAGCUAGUAGGUAAGGUAAUGGCUUACCUAGGCGACGAUCCCUAGCUGGUCUGAGAGGAUGAUCAGCGACACUGGGACUGAGACACGGACCAGACUCCUACGGAGGCAGCAGUGGGGAAUAUUGCACAAUGGGCGCAAGCCUGAUGCAGCCAUGCCGCGUGUAUGAAGAAGGCCCUAGGGUUGUAAAGUACUUUCAGUCGGGAGGCGUAACCGAAAGAAGAAGCACCGGCUAACUCCGUGCCAGCAGCCGCGGUAAUUG